UACGUGGGGUGCAAGCGUUAUCCGGAUUUACUGGGCGUCAAGCGUACCGUCGGUGGUUGAGUAAGUUUCUUGUUUAAGCCUGGGGCCUAACUCCAGUAAGGCGAGGAAAACUACUUAACUUGAGUCUGUUCGGGGGAUUUGGAAUUCUCGGUGGAGGGGUGAAAGCCGUAGAUAGCGAGAGGAACACCAAACGCGAAGGCAGAAUCCUAGGACACGACUGACACUCAGGGACGACAGCUCGGGGAGCAAAAGGG
rnacentral:rRNA from 1 species